rnacentral:rRNA from 1 species
GCCCGCUCAGAAACUUAAAGGAAAGUUAGACGGGGCCCGGCACAAGCGGUGGAGCAUGUGGUUUAAUUCGAUGGUACGCGAGGAACCGUUACCAGGGCUUGACAUACGCCGGAAGCGCAUCGAAAGGUGCGUGCCGCUUGCGGCCGGCGUACAGGUGCUGCAUGGCUGUCGUCAGCUCGUGCUGUGAAGUGUUGGGUUAAGUCCCGCAACGAGCGCAACCCCUGCUGCCUGUUGCCACCACGAGAGGUGGGGACUCAGGCGGGACCGCCGGUGACAAACCGGAGGAAGGUGGGGACGACGUCAAGUCGUCAUGGCCCCUUAUGUCCUGGGCUACACACGUGCUACAAUGGCCGGUACAGAGCGCAGCGAGGCCGCGAGGCGGAGCGAAUCGCUUAAAGCCGGUCCCAGUACGGAUUGGAGUCUGCAACCCGACUCCAUGAAGUUGGAAUCGCUAGUAAUCGCGCAUCAGCAUGGCGCGGUGAAUACGUUCCCGGGCCUU